rnacentral:misc_RNA from 1 species
GAUGAAGAACGCAGCGAAAUGCGAUAAGUAAUGUGAAUUGCAGAAUUCAGUGAAUCAUCGAAUCUUUGAACGCACAUUGCGCCCGCCAGUAUUCUGGCGGGCGUGCCUGUUCGAGCGUCAUUUCAACCAUCAAGCCCCCGGCUUGUGUUGGGGACCUGCGGCUGCCGCAGGCCCUGAAAUGCAGUGGCGGGCUCGCUGUCACUCCGAGCGUAGUAGUUACAUCUCGCUCUGGGCGUGCUGCGGGUUCCGGCCGUUAAAAGCCUUAUUUACCCAAGGUUGACCUCGGAUCAGGUAGGAAGACCCGCUGAACUUAAGCAUAUCAAUAAGCGGAGGA